rnacentral:rRNA from 1 species
CAGCAGCCACGGUAAAACGUAGGGUGCAAGCGUUAAUCGGAAUUACUGGGCGUAAAGCGUGCGCAGGCGGUGUUGUAAGACUGAUGUGAAAUCCCCGGGCUCAACCUGGGAACUGCAUUGGUGACUGCAACGCUGGAGUGCGGCAGAGGGGGAUGGAAUUCCGCGUGUAGCAGUGAAAUGCGUAGAUAUUCGGAGGAACACCGAUGGCGAAGGCAAUCCCCUGGGCCUGCACUGACGCUCAUGCACGAAAGCGUGGGGAGCAAACAGGAUUAGAUACCCGCGUAGUCCCUGUCUCUUAUAC